UCUUAUUUAUUGAUUACUAACCUGGAUUUUUCUCAACAGUUUGCGCUUACUAUGUGAAUUCACGAGAUUGCUGUGUAGCGUUUUCUAAGGUACUAGAGAAAUUACGAGCUCACUGGCAUUUUUUAAUAGAAUGGGUUAUUAUUAGUCUUUUCGAGAAGAAGCGUACAUAGUUUUCAAAACCGAUGCUGUAUAAAGUUUCACGCAUAAAUGCUGAGAAGUACAGUUUACCUAUAGUCGGUGGAAAAAGAUAAUUCCACUCUAAAUCGGACUUAACGACAAUUCUUGAACAGUACACAGAGAUGAAAUUUUGGCUUAAUAGCUUCACUCAAUGAUAGAGCUUGACAAUUACAACGAUGAGACCAAAAGCAAUACGCUUCUUAAACACUUUCAAAUAAGUAAUAAACAUUUUAUAUUAAUCCCACUACUCAAAAUGUAUCACAUAUUCCCUAACCAAAAAUCUAUAAAUUAACUAAAUCAAAUGCUUAACUUUGGCAGUAGUAUCACGAGAUUGAACUUCUUUGGCCAUCGACUUCUUAUAUUCCUCAAUGGAGCAGUCCAAUUUCACAACCUUCUUGUCUUUAACUUCCCACAACUCUUUAGAAACUUGACCAAUUAGACGGAAAUCGUGAGAAACCAAAACAACACCACCAGUCCAUACGUUAAUGGCUUUGGCUAGGGCAUCAAUAGAGGUAAUAUCCAAGUGAUUCGUAGGUUCAUCAAGUAAAAGAAUGUGGGGUUGUUCCAAAGCGAGUGCUGCAAACACAACACGGCUUUUCAAGCCAUCAGAUAAAGUACGGAUUUCACUGGUUUGGUGAAGACCAGACAAACCGAAUUUGCCCAAAACGCUGCGCCAUUGCUGAAGUUCUCUCUCGGGAAAUUUAGGCUUGUAAGUAUCCAUGAUGUAUUCAAGUGGAGACUUGUCAUAGGGAAGCUGAUCGGCACUGUGCUGAGAGUAUUUAGCCAUCUUCAAUCCACUGUAACGAGAGACAUUGCCUUCAAUGGGAAUCAAAAGCCCAGUGAUUAAGUUCAACAAUGUAGACUUUCCGGUACCAUUUUUACCCACAAUGGCGACACGGGAGUCCAUAUCGAUACCAAAGGACAAGUCACGGUACAAAGCGUGAUCAAGAUUACCAUCAUAAGAGAAAGCAACGUCGUUAAAAGCAAUGAUAGGUGGUGGUAAUUUGCGAACUUCAUCAAAUUCAAAGCUGAAUUGA